AAACCAAUUCAAACACAUCACUCAGUUGGCAAACGACGAAAUCAUACCAUGCACUCUCCACAGAAUUUGAAACAAGAGAGAGAAUGAAAAGACACUGAAGCCUAGAGAUUUACACGUGGCUUGUGAGGAAGCACAUUGUGCGAAACGGGAUUUGAUUUUCAAGCCGGCAAACCUGUUGCCACCUCCCUCCAGGAGUUUGGGAAUCCUUUACAACCCUCCGGUUGAUCUUGUUUUACUGUUGUGCCUUAUAUUGAGUUCUGAAGAAGAGAACAUUAAACUUUAUUUCAAACUUCA